GACGAACGCUGGCGGCGUGCUUAACACAUGCAAGUCGAGCGGGAACCUCUCGAGGGGUAACCCUUGAGAGGGGAGAGCGGCGAACGGGUGAGUAACACGUGGGCAAUCUGCCCUGGACUCUGGGAUAAGCGUUGGAAACGACGUCUAAUACCGGAUACGAGGCGUGGGGGCAUCCCCAACGCCUGGAAAGAAUUUCGGUCCAGGAUGAGCUCGCGGCCUAUCAGGUAGUUGGUGAGGUAACGGCUCACCAAGCCUACGACGGGUAGCCGGCCUGAGAGGGUGACCGGCCACACUGGGACUGAGACACGGCCCAGACUCCUACGGGAGGCAGCAGUGGGGAAUAUUGCACAAUGGGCGCAAGCCUGAUGCAGCAACGCCGCGUGAGGGACGACGACCUUCGGGUUGUAAACCUCUUUUAGCAGGGAAGAAGCGAAAGUGACGGUACCUGCAGAAAAAGCACCGGCUAACUACGUGCCAGCCGCCGCGGUAAUAC
rnacentral:rRNA from 1 species